rnacentral:rRNA from 1 species
UUAAAUUGAAGAGUUUGAUCAUGGCUCAGAUUGAACGCUGGCGGCAGGCCUAACACAUGCAAGUCGAACGGUAACAGGAAGCAGCUUGCUGCUUUGCUGACGAGUGGCGGACGGGUGAGUAAUGUCUGGGAAACUGCCUGAUGGAGGGGGAUAACUACUGGAAACGGUGGCUAAUACCGCAUAACGUCGCAAGACCAAAGAGGGGGACCUUCGGGCCUCUUGCCAUCAGAUGUGCCCAGAUGGGAUUAGCUGGGUGGUGAGGUAACGGCUCACCAAGGCGACGAUCCCUAGCUGGUCUGAGAGGAUGACCAGCCACACUGGAACUGAGACACGGUCCAGACUCCUACGGGAG